UCGUCACUCUUAAUUUAAUCGCUUCAUAAAGCUAUAUCAUUCCUUCACGUCGUGUAGGUUUAAUCAAAAAUUGUUUAAAACGUUAACAGAAUGAAGUGCUACCUCAUCCUUCUACUGUGUAUGCUCUUGGUACCAUCACAAGCCCAACUGGGUCUAUGGAGGGGGAAUUUGGGAUCGAUCAUUCAAGGAAACGAGGCCAGAUUUCCGCUCUGUUUUCCUUUUGGUUAUCCACUUUUCACUCCUGCGCUUCCAUGCUUUCAACGUGGAUGGGGUAGAAGCAUACGCGAUGUGAAUGUGCCGUGUCUUCCGCCUAUUAUUGAUGAAAGGAUAGUGCCUCCUUGCCUUGGACCGUAUGUUGUUAUUACUAAUCGGUACGUCAGUGGUUUCAACUGGUAUUGAACGUUCGUAAACGUGUUACUUGCUGUUGUAUAGUUAUUAAAGCAAAUAUGUGAUUAUGAAAUUGCUUUACGUUUAUUGGAACGAAAUGGUGUAGUAGUAUUUUACAUUUGGGAACUUUCUCAAAUUUUCCACUUCGCUAUCGAACAUGUCACAUCGCAAACACGGUGGGGCUGAACGAACUUUAAAUAAACAUGUCGACUUCCA